GCCACGUCAGCAAAUAGACGGAGCCGUUAGGAAUUUUUUACGGAAGUAUCACGUUGAUGUCAAAAUAUGUGUUUGGGUAUCGCAUUGAUACUUUUGAGAGUUCAGGUAUCAAAUUGGCCUUGGCAGCAUAGUUUGGGGACGAGACGAUGAAGAAGAACCCAAUACACAAAAGGCUUUUACCUGGACAAUCCAUUUCUUUGUUUUUUGGGUAUGCAAUUUGUCUUCCAAUUGAUCAAUCCCUGUUUCAAAGUUCCAUUCUUUACCUUACUCUACUUGGGUUUGAAAUUUUCUUUAAUUUUUUAUGUUUGUUCAACUAAACACUUGUUGGGAAAGCCAGGUUUUGAGGACUUUCACCUUUGUUACUGUUUCAAUGAAUAUGGAUAUAUGCAUGUAGAGUAGGACGCAAGUAAGAAGCUGACAUUGAACAGCUAGGUAUCGAUGUUGCUGGCAAAGUAACCCUUGAUUCAGGGUGGUCAACUGGUGGAUUUACUGGCUGUUUACUUUAAGUAUGGUGCAUCAUUUGUUUAUGGAGUUGAUGUUGGAUAUGGCCAGGUAACACCCCUAUUUGGUAGUGAAUGAUGUCAUUCCAACUAUUUUAUGCUUUCCUAAAUCCAAAGAAAAACUAUCUUAUCUGUGAGUAUACUGAUUCUUUUCUAUUCUUGUUCAAUCAUGAAUUAUGUUAUGGUGUAUUAGAAAAUGUCUCUCUUUCUAGUUUUGCAUUCAUAACUUAAAUAUUACAUGUAAUUCAUUUAGUUUCUUUUUGACACUUAGUUUGGUUCUUAAUCUGUUCUGAAUUGUGUCUUUGUUAAGCAGUAAUGACUUGCAGGCGCACAAAACUUUCAGUUAACUAAUUAUUUUUGGCUGCACCCUAAAGUGUUCUACAAUUUUAACUCUUAAGUCUUUACUUACAUGCUACUUUUGCUUGAGAACAAAAUCUGCAAUUUCUUUUUAAUUGGCUCUUCUUUUUGUAAAUGAGCUGAAUAUAAAGUGAUAACUAAUUUUUUAUUGUUCAAUAGUUUAGUACUGUCCUUCAUCUUAUUAAGUGCUGCUUUGAUUGUAUAAUUUGCAUACUUGUGCAGUCUGUUGCAAUCUUUACUCAGGUAAAAAAUGUGCGUAAGGGAAAUUGAUUUGAUAUUGGAGCGAGCCAGACUAUUGGAACGAGUGUUGCUGAAGUACUUAGCUUUUUCAUGUAUUAAUGUUUCACCAAAUUGAAGUUUUGUAGUUGGAUAUUUGAACUUAUUCUAUUGUAACA